rnacentral:tRNA from 1 species
ACUCAUAUAGUUUAAAUUAAAAUGUCGGAUUGUGGUGCCGAAGAUAUAUGUUCUUAUUUUGAGUA